GUGUUCGCUUCGGCAGCACCUAUACUAAAAUCGGAAUGAUACAGAGAAGAUUAGCAUGGCCCCUGCGCAAGGAUGACACACAAAUUCGUGAAGCGUUCCAUAUUUUU
ensembl:snRNA U6 U6 spliceosomal RNA